GGCGCUGUGGCGCAGUGGGUUAACGCUCUGGCCUGAAGCGCCAGCAUCCCAUAUGGGCGCCGGUUCAAGACCUGGCUGCUCCA
rnacentral:tRNA from 1 species